rnacentral:lncRNA from 1 species
CAAUUCCAAAGACACAAAUGGGGUAGAAAUGACUUGGCCUUUUGAUCUAUUAGAUAUUAAGACUAAUGAAGAGGUCUGGGAUAAUUUCCAAGUUUCUGACUUAGAAAAUUUGGUGCCUCCUGGUGCCUUUAACAUGAUUAGGGCAAUUGGUGAGGAGGAGGGCUUGGGCACUCAAGAUGGAGACACACAACAGGCAGUUGCUACUACUCAAAUCUGAGAUCCAGAAAAUAGGUCAGGGAUUGAGGGAUACAGAUGGGCCAAGACCGAAGAAAACAGAACUCAGAUAUGGAGAUGGGGAGACCAUCCCCUGGGGCUAUGAUUAUAGCAGCUGGAUUCAGUUGGGUUGGAAGUUUAGGGAUGAUCUGGACUUUUAAAAUGCAAAAUAUAAGCCAGAUGCUGUGGCCCAUGCUUAUAAUCCUAGCUAUUCUAGACUGGAGCAUAUCAAAUCUAAGGUUUGCCUCAGCAACUUGGUGAGACUCUAUCUCAAAAAAUAAGGAUAGGUGUGGUAGUGCACACUGGUAAUCCCAGUAAUUCUGGAGGCUGAGGCAGGAGGAUUGCAGGUUCAAAGCCAGCCUCAGCAACUUAAUGAGGCCCUAAGCAACUUAGUCUCAAAAUAGAAAAGGCUAGGGAUGUGGCUCAGGGAUUAAGCAACCAUGAGUUCAAUCUCUGGUACGAAAUUAAGGGAAAAAAAAAAUAAAAAAGGACUGGGGAGGAUGUAGCUCAGCGGUAGAAUACCCCUAGAUUCAAUCCUCAGUACCAAAAAAAGAUGCAAAAUCUAAUACAUCCAUUUUCUUGGGGGCGGGGGGCAGGGUGGUGCGUGUACUAGGGAUUGAACCCAUCCCCAGCCCUUAUUUUUAGAUUUUGUUUUGAGACAGGGUCUCGAUAAGUCCCUUAGGGCCUUGAUUUGAAGUUGCUGAGGCUGACUUUGAACUCCUGCCACAGCCUCCCAGGCCACUGGGAUUACAGGUGUGAGCCAUCACUCCUGGCUACAUUCAUUUUUUUCUUUUUUUUUUCCCUUGAGCUAGGUUGACUCAGGCUUCUGUCACUUAUAGACAAAAAAAUUUUUACCUACCAAAAUAGAAAAACAUACCUUGAAUAGCAAGAAAGAUUGAGGAAACUAAAGAAUCUAAUAGAAAGGGAAUU